rnacentral:rRNA from 1 species
CAGCCGCCGCGGUAAUACGUAGGGUGCGAGCGUUAAUCGGAAUUACUGGGCGUAAAGAGCCCGUAGGCGGUUUGUCGCGUCUGCUGUGAAAACUGGAGGCUCAACCUCCAGCCUGCAGUGGGUACGGGCAGACUAGAGUGCGGUAGGGGAGAUUGGAAUUCCUGGUGUAGCGGUGGAAUGCGCAGAUAUCAGGAGGAACACCGAUGGCGAAGGCAGAUCUCUGGGCCGUAACUGACGCUGAGGAGCGAAAGCGUGGGGAGCGAACAGGAUUAGAUACCCCUGUAGUCCCUGUCUCUUAUAC